AGCAGCCGCGGUAAUUCCAGCUCCAAUAGCGUAUAUUAAAGUUGUUGCAGUUAAAAGCUCGUAGUUGAAUUUCGGGAUCAAUAUGUUGGUCGUGCCUCGGUACGUACCAGCUUAUUGGUUUCUCCUUUCUGAAGAACCAUGAUGUCAUUUAUUUGGUGUCGUGGGGAAUCAGGACUGUUACUUUGAAAAAUUAGAGUGUUUAAAGCAGGCUCACGCUUGAAUACAUUAGCAUGGAAUAAUGAAAUAGGACGUUUGAUUCUAUUUUGUUGGUUUCUAGGAUCGACGUAAUGAUUAAUAGGGAUAGUUGGGGGCAUUAGUAUUCAAUUGUCAGAGGUGAAAUUCUUGGAUUUAUUGAAGACUAACUACUGCGAAAAGCAUUUGCCAAGGAUGUUUUCAUUAAUCAAGAACGAAAGUUAGGGGAUCGAAGACGAUCAGAUACCGUCGUAGUCUUAACCAUAAACUAUGCCGACUAGGGAUCGGAUGAUGUAAUUUUUAAUGUACUCAUUCGGCG
rnacentral:rRNA from 1 species